GAAUGUUCGAGUAAGGAUCGAUGAUCAAUUUUGGGCCUAGUCUAUGUGGAUCGGAUUGGAUUGCAUGGAUUGAGAUCUAAAUAUUAUGCCAUUCUAUUGUCAUCUAAUGCAUGCAAACUAUAUACAAAAAGUGGAAGUCCAUUUAAUCUGAUGAUCAAUGAAGAGUUUAUUUAGUGUUGUUUUACAUUAUAGUCUUUAGAAUAAAU
rnacentral:lncRNA from 1 species